ensembl:lncRNA
CUCCCGACUCCUGUUGCCGUUUCGAGGCCAUGUUCAAACAGGUGUUUACCAAUACCGAAUUGAGGCAUUAUAGAACAGACCACUGGGAGUGGGGGGCACCAGGAGGAGACUGGAGACAGGGCACAAAGCAGAUUCACCCCUUUUCUCGGGAAAAUUGUUUUAUGUUGCUUUUGUAUUGUUUAACCAUAUUAAUGCAUAUGAUAUUUAUAGUAUUAAUAUGGUUUACUUCUUUUUUUUGGUGCCCUACCGGCCAUUUGGUGCCCUACGCAGUGUGCGUUAUGUGCGUUUGCGGAGCUACGGCGCUGCUCACUAGCAAUCCAGCAAUUCAUCUCCGAGGAAGUUAUCCCAGAGAGAAGUAAAGCAAGUGUCUCGUCUGACUGUGAGUCCCAGCAGCUCUCAGGUGUUUGAAGGAGACUUUGUGUCUCUGAGCUGUGAGGAGGACGACAGCUCUGCUGGAUGGACUCUGAGGAGAAACACAAGCAAAAAACAGAGGACUCAGUGUGGAGAUGGGUGGGGAGAACCAGCUGGUUCUUCAUGUAACAUCAGUCGCAUCAUCUCGGACAGUGGAGUUUACUGGUGUGAGUCCAGAGAGGGUCCCAUCAGUAACAUGGUUAACCUGACAGUCACUGAUUCAUGAAGCUUCAUGUUCAGCAGUGAGAUCUGGCGUCAGCUGCCUUUGAGACUCUUCAAUUCUUCAGUUCUUUAAUUCUUCUUUAUUAAAAUCUUUCUUUAGACAAGCUACAAAAUCACCACACCCUCAUAGCCUGUAAUCUUACAUUCAAGUUUGUGUAAUUUCACAGCUCCAUCUGUGUUAAACUUCACUCAUUGGCCACUUUAUUAGGUACAUCUGAUCAUCACCACAUGACAGCCACUCAGUGCAUUUAGACAUGUGUGCAUGGUCAAGUCAACCUGCUAAACAUCAAUCAGAGCAUUACGAUGGAGAAGAAAGUUGAGAUUUAAGUGAGCUGAAUGUGGCAUUGUCGUUGGUCCCACUCGUUGGCUCUGAGUGUUUCAGAAAUUGAUCUGCUAAUAUUUUACCGCACAUCUCAAGGGUUUACAGACAAGGGUCAGAAAAACAGAAGACAUCCAGUGAACAACACUUCUCUGGUAGAAAAGAACUUAUUGAUGUG